rnacentral:rRNA from 1 species
GAUGAACGCUGGCGGCGUGCCUAAUACAUGCAAGUCGAGCGACCAGACGAGGAGCUUUCUCCUCUGACGUUCGCGGCGCGCAGGGGAGUAACAUGUAGCUAACCGUACUAUAAGAUUGGGAUAACUUCUCCAAACCGAUGCUUAUAACGGCUAAUGUAUUGAACCGCAUAGUUCAAUAUUUUCAGACGUUACUGUUGUCACUCAUCGAUUGUUCCGUGCCCUAUUAGCUAGUUGGUAGGGUAACGGCUUACAAAGGCAACGAUGAGUAGCAGACCUGAGAGGAUGAUCGGCCACACUGGAACUGAGACACGGUCCAGACUCCUACGGGAGGCAGCAGUAGGGAAUCUUCGACAAUGGGCGCAAGCCUGACGGAGCAACGCCGCGUGAGUGAUGAAGGUCUUCGGAUUGUAAAACUCUGUUAUUAGGGAAGAAAAAAUUUGUAAGAAAAUAUGCACGUCUUGACGGUACCUAAUCAGAAAGCCACGGCUAACUACGUG